AAAGAAUUAGUUAAAUUAACCAAAUAACAUAAAUAUGUCAAAUUUAAAUUAUUGCUGUAUAAAGUAAUAUUCUUUU
rnacentral:tRNA from 1 species